rnacentral:rRNA from 1 species
GACGAACGCUGGCGGCGUGCCUAAUACAUGCAAGUCGAGCGGACAGACGGGAGCUUGCUCCCUGAUGUUAGCGGCGGACGGGUGAGUAACACGUGGGUAACCUGCCUGUAAGACUGGGAUAACUCCGGGAAACCGGGGCUAAUACCGGAUGGUUGUCUGAACCGCAUGGUUCAGACAUAAAAGGUGGCUUCGGCUACCACUUACAGAUGGACCCGCGGCGCAUUAGCUAGUUGGUGAGGUAACGGCUCACCAAGGCAACGAUGCGUAGCCGACCUGAGAGGGUGAUCGGCCACACUGGGACUGAGACACGGCCCAGACUCCUACGGGAGGCAGCAGUAGGGAAUCUUCCGCAAUGGACGAAAGUCUGACGGAGCAACGCCGCGUGAGUGAUGAAGGUUGUCGGAUCGUAAAGCUCUGUUGUUAGGGAAGAACAAGUGCCGUUCAAAUAGGGCGGCACCUUGACGGUACCUAACCAGAAAGCCACGGCUAACUACGUG